GAUGAACGCUGGCGGCGUGCCUAAUACAUGCAAGUCGAGCGAACGGACGAGAGGCUUGCUUCUCUGAUGUUAGCGGCGGACGGGUGAGUAACACGUGGAUAACCUACCUAUAAGACUGGGAUAACUUCGGGAAACCGUAGCUAAUACCGGAUAAUAUUUUGAACCGCAUGGUUCAAAAGUGAAAGACGGUCUUGCUGUCACUUAUAGAUGGAUCCGCGCUGCAUUAGCUAGUUGGUAAGGUAACGGCUUACCAAGGCAACGAUGCAUAGCCGACCUGAGAGGGUGAUCGGCCACACUGGAACUGAGACACGGUCCAGACUCCUACGGGAGGCAGCAGUAGGGAAUCUUCCGCAAUGGGCGAAAGCCUGACGGAGCAACGCCGCGUGAGUGAUGAAGGUCUUCGGAUCGUAAAACUCUGUUAUUAGGGAAGAACAUAUGUGUAAGGAACUGUGCACAUCUUGACGGUACCUAAUCAGAAAGCCACGGCUAACUACGUG
rnacentral:rRNA from 1 species